rnacentral:lncRNA from 1 species
CACAGAUGAAGGAGGACUUCCAGAGCUGCUUCAGAAAGUGGCAACAAUGAAGGGGAAAGUGUCCUUGAGUCUGGAGGCCAGCCUCGGGACUGCAGUCUGUGCUAUGCCCUCACUGUCAGACAGUAAGUCCAGCUCACAGAGAAUGCUAUCCAGUGGGAUCCACCCAGCUCUUCUUCAUGUAGCAGGACCCUGCAUGACAGACUCUUACCCGUCCAAUCCCUUCCCCUGCUUGAAUCCCACCAUGUGUCAUGACAUGGGCCAUUUGGGCUCAGUAGAUAAAGAUUCAUU